ensembl:lincRNA
GCGUCCGCGCGCCCCGUAGGGGCACGCACCGACCCCCGGCCGCGGUGACUCGGGACGCGCCGGCCGCCGCCGCCGCCGCCUUCUCCUCCUCGGCACAAGUCCCCUCAGCGAGCAGAGGGUCGCGGGCACAGCCCCCGCCGGGACCAAAGGGAACCUCGCCGCCUCCGCAGCCUCCACCACCAAUUCCCUUCAGUCGUCCGCGCCGCCCCAAGAAAAUGUCACCAGAGGCCGUUCCGCUCUGCGCCUCACUUCCGCCCGGAACCACAGAGUCUGCGCCGGCGGGGUAGAGCGGCCACUGCGGCGGCAGCCUCUGGUGACUGGGGCCGGAGGCCGGGAGAAAGCCAGACAGCGCCAUCUGGCGAUAGGGAAUCCAGCUCCCGCUGCAGAGCACCGACUCCGCGGCGCCGGCCUCCCAGGCUUCUUUGCUGCGCGGCUUCUUUCGGUUCUGGCAGCUACUUCUAGACAUGUCUUUCCCAGAGGGUAGGAAAGCCAGUCCAUGCAAGCCAAGGACAGUGCCUUAAGAAAAGGCCCUCCUUCCCGUGCCCUGCCCAGUACUCACCCCCUCCCGAAUGAAGCCCGCGAUGUCUGAUACUGACUCACUGCAGCAGGGAGUCCUCACUUUUCCGCGGAAGCCAGCAGCUCGGCUGGGAAAGACUGGGCUGUGCUCCUCUCCAGCAGUAGCAUCAACAUCCUGUUCAAGUUUCUGCACGGGAACCUCGCACGGGAACCGCGCUAUGGCGAAUAGCGCGCCACCUGCUGGUGAGACGCUCUCUGCCGGGGAGACCCGGCUCCGCCGCUGCGCGCGUUCCAAGGCCCUAAAUUCCAGCUCUGCAGAGUCACGGCUCGGGUCUGCAGCGCGCCCAGGAGAGGAUGACACACCCGCGCCCCCUCUGAACUGACUGGGCCGUUCCUCCGGAUGGAGAAGCGGGUGCAUCGCGCACAGGACGCGGGACCCAUGGGAAAGGGAGCCCGGCGCAGGCCCCCUGGACCAGUAGAGGGCUUCGGAGGAGAAAGGGAAGAUGCCAGAUGCCAAGGACAGUUUCACAACUCAAAACCUGGCUCACUGAAAGCAGUGCAGGAUACUCAGAGCCAGAGCGGGAGCAGGAAGAGCCAGCCAGUUCAUCCUACUUCUGCCUCGGGAUUGUCUCCUAGAGUCUCCUAUGCAUCCAGUACUCAGCUCUUCAAAAAGCUCCUGAAGCCGAGUGUGGUGGCACAAACCUGUAAUCCCAGCACUUGGGAGGCUAAGGUAGGAAGAUCAAAGCAGGAAGAGGCAGGAAGAUUGCAAGGGGUUCCAGGCCAGCCUGGGCUAUCUAGGGAAUUUAAGACCAGCCUGAACUAUAUAGUGAGACCCUGACUCAAAAAAAAAAGUUCCUGAAAUGCCAUCUUCUCCAAAAACUACCUCCAUCAGGUGUCUUUCCCAUCCCUUCCACGCUGCUGCCCCCCUACCCUGGCCUCCCACCACCUGUGCCCAGGGAUGCCUCCUACAACACGUCUACGCCUUGGUCUGCCUACAGUGUCUUACCAAGCCACAUCCGUGGGUCGGCUCUGUCGCAGCCCUGGAGGUCUGUCACGGCCUGUCAGAAUCAGUCCUCAACACCAUUUCUUGCACCUACUGCACCCCGUGGAAUGGGGUUGGGCCUGCAGCAGGUGCCUGAGCCUCAGCAUCAGAAAGUGGCCAACCUGGCUUUGCUGGUAGCCUGUGUCUGUUUUUCCUGACCAAGCGGCCUUCCUGACCACCCUGUGCCCUGCAAGGUGGGUGCUGUUGGACCAGGGGUGUCACUCAGUGGUAGAGCAUUUGCCUAGCAUACUUAAGGUCCUCUGUUGAAUCAAAAUAAAUAAAUGCAUAAAUAAAUAAUCAAAUAAAUCAAAAUAAAUGCAUAAAUAAAGAAACAAUUAGAAGGACUCUAGGUAACGGAGAGAUCCUUGUCGCUCUGGGCUGGGCUUGCCCCUCCCUUCCUUCUCAGAGUUCUGGGAGCUGGGCUGCCACCCCAAGCAUCUGUGAUCACCCAGCAUCCACCACAGGCAGUGGAAUCUGGGGAAAUGCUCAACUUCUGCAUUCUGAGCCACAGAACCUGCAACUGGUUGCCGUUCCACAGUUAACUCUCCCUGCUCUGCCUUGCCAGCUCGUUCCAGGGAGUGAAAUUGUAGCCUCCACGUGGUAACCAUCCAGAAGCACUUGAAGGGUUCCAAGUGGCAGGGCAGAUAGUCCUCAGGAUCAGAAGCUCUGGAGUCUGACAGAUCUGAAUGGGAACCUGGUUCUGCAGUUAUGUCACUUCCCCUAUGGGACAGGCCUCAGUGUCCUGGCCUGUCCAGCGAGGAUGAUCUCCUAGUUCUUCCUUGCAAUCCCUCCCAAGGAAGAAGGUGGACAGACUCAUGUAUCUCAAGCUCACAGCACAUUUCUAGCUCAGAGAGAAUGUUCUAGAAGAGGCCAUCCUGAUGCCUGCACUCCAGGGCACACUUCCUAGGCACACAGGUUCUCAGCGCUCACUUCCAGUAACAUUUCCAUCUCAAAGGCUCAUUUUUCCACAGCAACAAGUUCACAUGGAACCAGAGCCAGAAUGGAACAUGCUGGAGGCUGUCGUGAAAGUGGAGCCAGGCAGAAGCCGAGUGGGGCCGGGAGUGGCAUUUCCCUCCGCUCCCUGCCUGCUCUGGGCUGGGUGAAAUGCUCUGGGAUCCAGCUCCAAGCCCUUCUUCCCAGUCAGGUGACCCCCGGGAACCCAGUCCAUAUAGAAAGACUUUAGCCAGGCAUGGUGGCACACGCCUGUAAUCCCAGCACCUGGGAGGCUGAGGCAGGAGGAUCAUUGUGAGUUUGAGACCAGCCUGGGUUACAAAGUGAGCUUAAGGCCAGCCUGAACUGUAUAGCGAGAUCCUGUCUCAAAAAGACAAAAAAACCCCAAACAUACAAACAAACAAACAAAAAAAAGCAUAUAGAAAGACUUUAAAAUUGUUUAAAAGUAGAAAAAAUACAAAGGACAGUUUUAAAUUUAUCAACAAGUGCAUACUUACUUCCCCUCGUUUGUUUUACAGUACUGGGCCUUGAUGCAUGCUAGGCAAACACUCCCCCACUGAGCUGCAUCCCCAGCUCCUCUUUACUUUUUGAGAUAGUGUCUCACUAAGUUGCCCGCGCUGGCCUCAAACUUGUGACACUGCUGCCUCAGCCUCCGAGUGUGCUGGGAUUACAGGUGUCCAUUAACACCUCUGGUUUUUUUUUUUUAAUGAAAGGAAUCACCCUGAAUGACUGGGUGCUUUGUGGGCCUUCAUGGGAGGGGAGAAUGCUCCUUUGACAGCUCAUCUCAACUGGCAGCCUCCCUGCCCUCACAGCAGACCAUUGUCUCUUCCAUCUGAUUUGCCAUCCUGGGGCCGCAGGGUCAUGUUCCUGAGGAUGCAGGUUGAAAGUGGAGCCCGGAGCAGCCGCAGGCAGAAGACCCUGCGGUGCAUGCAAAGCCUCAGGGCCCAGCCGCUCAGCACACACGCCCUGAGGGGACAGAGGAGGGCCAAGAGUCAGAAACCUGCAAGAUGUCAAAACAAGGAAGCUAGGCCAGGUGCCAAGUGGGUGAGAGGCUGGCAGGAGGAUGUGGGCCUGUGGACCAAGUAGAGGGAGGGGUUGUCGAGGAAGACCUGGCACCUGCUGACUGCGUUAAAGAAGGGGAAGCAAGCCCUUGUCGGAAGGAAGAGCACAGGUCAUGCUAUUAUGGACAGCUAAGCAAGGUGGAACUAUUACAGGCAGUUGGACAGGGCUCAGCCCCCAGGGGAGUCAACAGAGGGUGAAAACACAUUACAACGGUGCUUCAGUUGGAGGCCAGGCCUCAAGAUUAAGACAAGAUGACCAGUCCUACGUGCCUCCCCGGAGGAUGAACAAUGGAUUGGAAAUUGUGCUCACCCUGGUUGUCUCUUCCCAAAAAGGUCUUUGUUUUUUUUCCUGUACACUUGCUAUGUGACCUGCUUCCCCAUUGGAUCAACAUUACCUAGGCAGCUAAACUUAUAGGUUUUCUGGGUUUGGUUUUUUUUGUUUGUUUUUGUUUUUUGAGACAAGGUCUCACUGUGCAGUUCAGGCUGGACUUGAGCUCACUUUGUAGCCCAGGCUGCUUUUGAACUUGCAAUGAUCCUCCUGCCUCAGCCUCCCAAGUGCUGGGAUUCUAGGCAUACGCCACCACACCCCAGCUAAACUUGUAAUCUUAUUGGUUGAUCAUAGUUGUAUCCUGUGUUGUACCCACCUCGUGAUUUUGCUCUAUAAAACUUGCUCUGUAAAAUGGAGUCCAGCAACCCAUUUUUGGUUCCCCUCCUGUGUCUCUCAAUAAAUACAGUAUUUCC